rnacentral:rRNA from 1 species
AAGUCGUAACAAGGUUUCCGUAGGUGAACCUGCGGAAGGAUCAUUACCGAGUGAGGGCCCUCUGGGUCCAACCUCCCACCCGUGUUUAUUAUACCUUGUUGCUUCGGCGGGCCCGCCGUAUGGCCGCCGGGGGGCUUCUGCCCCCGGGCCCGCGCCCGCCGAAGACAUCUCGAACUCUGUCUGAAGAUUGUAGUCUGAGUAAAAAUAUAAAUUAUUUAAAACUUUCAACAACGGAUCUCUUGGUUCCGGCAUCGAUGAAGAACGCAGCGAAAUGCGAUACGUAAUGUGAAUUGCAGAAUUCAGUGAAUCAUCGAGUCUUUGAACGCACAUUGCGCCCUCUGGUAUUCCGGAGGGCAUGCCUGUCCGAGCGUCAUUGCUGCCCUCAAGCACGGCUUGUGUGUUGGGCUCCGUCCCCCGAUUCCGGGGGACGGGCCCGAAAGGCAGCGGCGGCACCGCGUCCGGUCCUCGAGCGUAUGGGCUUUGUCACCCGCUCUGUAGGCCCGGCCGGCGCUUGCCGAUCAACCAAAUUUUUAUCCAGGUUGACUCGGAUCAGGUAGGGAUACCGCUGAACUUAAGCAUAUCAAUAAGCGGAGGAAAAGAAACCAACAGGGAUUGCCCCAGUAACGGCGAGUGAAGCGGCAAGAGCUCAAAUUUGAAAGCUGGCUCCUUCGGGGUCCGCAUUGUAAUUUGCAGAGGAUGCUUCGGGAGCGGUCCCCAUCUAAGUGCCCUGGAACGGGACGUCAUAGAGGGUGAGAAUCCCGUAUGGGAUGGGGUGUCCGCGCCCGUGUGAAGCUCCUUCGACGAGUCGAGUUGUUUGGGAAUGCAGCUCUAAGUGGGUGGUAAAUUUCAUCUAAAGCUAAAUAUUGGCCGGAGACCGAUAGCGCACAAGUAGAGUGAUCGAAAGAUGAAAAGCACUUUGAAAAGAGAGUUAAAAAGCACGUGAAAUUGUUGAAAGGGAAGCGCUUGCGACCAGACUCGCUCGCGGGGUUCAGCCGGCAUUCGUGCCGGUGUACUUUCCCCGCGGGCGGGCCAGCGUCGGUUUGGGUGGUCGGUCAAAGGCCCUCGGAAGGUAACGCCCCCUCGGGGGCGUCUUAUAGCCGAGGGUGCAAUGCGACCUGCCUGGACCGAGGAACGCGCUUCGGCUCGGACGCUGGCAUAAUGGUCGUAAGCGACC